rnacentral:rRNA from 1 species
AACAAGUACCGUGAGGGAAAGUUGAAAAGAACUCUGAAUAGAGAGUUAAACAGUACGUGAAACUGCUUAGAGGUUAAGCCCGAUGAACCUGAAUAUCCGUUAUGGAAAAUUCAUCAUUAAAAUUGUAAUAUUUAAAUAAUAUUAUGAAGAAUAGUGUGCAUUUUUUUCCAUAUAAGGACAUUGUAAUCUAUUAGCAUAUACCAAAUUUAUCAUAAAAUAUAACUUAUAGUUUUUAUCCAAUUAAAUUGCUUGCAUUUUAACACAGAAUAAAUGUUAUUAAUUUGAUAAAGUGCUGAUAGAUUUAUAUGAUUACAGUGCGUUAAUUUUUCGGAAUUAUAUAAUGGCAUAAUUAUCAUUGAUUUUUUGUGUUUAUUAUAUGCACUUGUAUGAUUAACAAUGCGAAAGAUUCAGGAUACCUUCGGGACGCCGUCUUGAAACAGCGGACCAAGGAGUCUAACAUAUGUGCAAGUUAUUGGGAUAUAAACCUAAUAGCGUAAUUAACUUGACUAAUAAUGGGAUUAGUUUUUUAGCUAUUUAUAGCUAAUUAACACAAUCCCGGGGCGUUCUAUAUAGUUUAUGUAUAAUGUAUAUUUAUAUUAUUUAUGCCUCUAACUGGAACGUACCUUGAGCAUAUAUGCUGUGACCCGCGAAAGAUGGUGAACUUACUUGAUCAGGUUGAAGUCAGGGGAAACCCUGAUGGAAGACCGAAACAGUUCUGACGUGCAAAUCGAUUGUCAGAAUUGAGUAUAGGGGCGAAAGACAAUCGAACCAUCUAGUAGCUGGUUCCUUCCGAAGUUUCCCUCAGGAUAGCUGGUGCAUUUUAAUAUUAUAUAAAAUAAUCUUAUCUGGUAAAGCGAAUGAUUAGAGGCCUUAGGGUCGAAACGAUCUUAACCUAUUCUCAAACUUUAAAUGGGUAAGAACCUUAACUUUCUGAUAUGAAGUUCAAGGUUAUGAUAUAAUGUGCGCCAGUGGGCCACUUUUGGUAAGCAGAACUGGCGCUGUGGGAUGAACCAAACGUAAUGUUACGGUGCCCAAAUUAACAACUCAUGCAGAUACCAUGAAAGGCGUUGGUUGCUUAAAACAGCAGGACGGUGAUCAUGGAAGUCGAAAUCCGCUAAGGAGUGUGUAACAACUCACCUGCCGAAGCAACUAGCCCUUAAAAUGGAUGGCGCUUAAGUUGUAUACCUAUACAUUACCGCUAAAGUAGAUGAUUUAUAUUACUUGUGAUAUAAAUUUUGAAACUUUAGUGAGUAGGAAGGUACAAUGGUAUGCGUAGAAGUGUUUGGCGUAAGCCUGCAUGGAGCUGCCAUUGGUACAGAUCUUGGUGGUAGUAGCAAAUAAUCGAAUGAGACCUUGGAGGACUGAAGUGGAGAAGGGUUUCGUGUGAACAGUGGUUGAUCACGAGUUAGUCGGUCCUAAGUUCAAGGCGAAAGCCGAAAAUUUUCAAGUAAAACAAAAAUGCCUAACUAUAUAAACAAAGCGAAUUAUAAUACACUUGAAUAAUUUUGAACGAAAGGGAAUACGGUUCCAAUUCCGUAACCUGUUGAGUAUCCGUUUGUUAUUAAAUAUGGCCUCGUGCUCAUCCUGGCAACAGGAACGACCAUAAAGAAGCCGUCGAGAGAUAUCGGAAGAGUUUUUCUUUUCUGUUUUAUAGCCGUACUACCAUGGAAGUCUUUCGCAGAGAGAUAUGGUAGAUGGGCUAGAAGAGCAUGACAUAUACUGUUGUGUCGAUAUUUUCUCCUCGGACCUUGAAAAUUUAUGGUGGGGACACGCAAACUUCUCAACAGGCCGUACCAAUAUCCGCAGCUGGUCUCCAAGGUGAAGAGUCUCUAGUCGAUAGAAUAAUGUAGGUAAGGGAAGUCGGCAAAUUAGAUCCGUAACUUCGGGAUAAGGAUUGGCUCUGAAGAUUGAGAUAGUCGGGCUUGAUUGGGAAACAAUAACAUGGUUUAUGUGCUCGUUCUGGGUAAAUAGAGUUUCUAGCAUUUAUGUUAGUUACUUGUUCCGCCGGAUAGUUUAGUUACGUAGCCAAUUGUGGAACUUUCUUGCUAAAAUUUUAAGAAUACUAUUUGGGUUAAACCAAUUAGUUCUUAUUAAUUAUAACGAUUAUCAAUUAACAAUCAAUUCAGAACUGGCACGGACUUGGGGAAUCCGACUGUCUAAUUAAAACAAAGCAUUGUGAUGGCCCUAGCGGGUGUUGACACAAUGUGAUUUCUGCCCAGUGCUCUGAAUGUCAAAGUGAAGAAAUUCAAGUAAGCGCGGGUCAACGGCGGGAGUAACUAUGACUCUCUUAAGGUAGCCAAAUGCCUCGUCAUCUAAUUAGUGACGCGCAUGAAUGGAUUAACGACGGACGUGUUUUCGUUGCGCUCGUGGACAUAGUGCGAAGAACUUGUUUUCCGUAUUUGGAAGUAUACGAAUAAAUAAUUUAGUGUUCCGUGGAAGUGGUGCGCAAAUUUUCGCGAAUUAAAACAAGCGGUUUGGAAGUAAUUGACAAUAAAUUAUUGGAAAUUUUCCAUCCGCACGUGUUGAGCGGCGAGCUUGCGGUGAGCUUUUCGAACAGCUGAGAGAAGCUUAUUGGUGGUAGUCACCGCUAAGGAUUGUGUCUUGGGACAGCUUAGUGCACUCUACCAAUAGGUGGAGCUAUCACCAUAGCAACUAGCCCGUGUCAGCGAGCAUACGAUUGCUGACUCGUCAAAAGGAGGAGCCACCAUCGGAGCAACGCCGAUGGAGAGGACAGCGACAGCAGUGUGAGUGCCUUGAGCGGAAGCAGUGCCUCAAAGGUGUCAAGACGAGCAGGCGUAGAGGCCAUCUGGCCUCCAAGAGCUGGCGCCAACGCAGGCGAAACUGGUUGCCCUGGCCUCGAAUGGAGUGCCGGAACCCGUUGGUGUGCUGGAGGAGGCGUUUUCAUCGCUGGAGGAUGCCCGGGCGGCUACGUCAAACGCUGCCAACGAUGCUGCCCCCCGCUGCUGCCCCGCUGUUGAUCACACUGUUGCCCCUGAUGUUUCACUGCUGCUAAAAUCGCUGCCACCACUGCCACCGCUGCCACCGCUGCCGCCCGUGCUGGGCAAGCAGCCAUGAUGGCAGAGCUGUCGGCCACCCAGCGCAUGGUGCGAAACAGUUUCCGCAGCCUAGGAGGCGUAGACACGGAAGAGCUCUCGUGUGCCAUCAGCCGCUAAUGAUGAGCUGGGUGAUGGCAUUAAUGCUCCGGUGUGGGAACUGAACCUGGAGACACCGCGCUCGCCGUCCAGGCAACACUACUGCCGCCAAUGCUCCCCAGAUGCCUCAGGU